UACAGAGGGUGCGAGCGUUGUCCGGAAUCACUGGGCGUAAGGGCGCGUAGGUGGCGACCCAAGUCUGUGGUGAAAGCCUCGACGCUCAACGUCGAGUCGGCCAUAGAUACUGGGUUGCUUGAGCACUGUAGAGGCAGAUGGAAUUCCGGGUGUAGCGGUGGAAUGCGUAGAGGAUCCGGAAGAACACCGGUGGCGAAGGCGGCAUCCUGGACCGACACUGACGCUGAGGAGCGAAAGCCAGGGGAGCAAAGCGGG
rnacentral:rRNA from 1 species